GGGGAAUUUUCCGCAAUGGGCGAAAGCCUGACGGAGCAAUACCGCGUGAGGGAGGAAGGCUCUUGGGUUGUAAACCUCUUUUCUCAAGGAAGAAAAAAAUGACGGUACUUGAGGAAUAAGCAUCGGCUAACUCCGUGCCAGCAGCCGCGGUAAUACGGAGGAUGCAAGCGUUAUCCGGAAUGAUUGGGCGUAAAGCGUCCGCAGGUGGCUAUGUAAGUCUGCUGUUAAAGAGUCUGGCUCAACCAGAUAAAGGCAGUGGAAACUACAUGGCUAGAGUGCGUUCGGGGCAGAGGGAAUUCCUGGUGUAGCGGUGAAAUGCGUAGAGAUCAGGAAGAACACCGGUGGCGAAAGCGCUCUGCUAGGCCGCAACUGACACUGAGGGACGAAAGCUAGGGGAGCGAAUGGGAUUAGAUACCCCAGUAGUCCUAGCCGUAAACGAUGGAUACUAGGCGUGGCUUGUAUCGACCCGAGCCGUGCCGUAGCGAACGCGUUAAGUAUCCCGCCUGGGGAGUACGCAGGCAACUGUGAAACUCAAAGGAAUUGACGGGGGCCCGCACAAGCGGUGGAGUAUGUGGUUUAAUUCGAUGCAACGCGAAGAACCUUACCAGGACUUGACAUGUCGCGAAUUUCUGUGAAAGCAGAAAGUGCCUUCGGGAGCGCGAACACAGGUGGUGCAUGGUUGUCGUCAGCUCGUGUCGUGAGAUGUUGGGUUAAGUCCCGCAACGAGCGCAACCCUCGUUUUUAGUUGCCAGCAUUAAGUUGGGCACUCUAGAGAGACUGCCGGUGACAAACCGGAGGAAGGUGGGGAUGACGUCAAGUCAGCAUGCCCCUUACGUUCUGGGCUACACACGUACUACAAUGCUACGGACAAAGGGCAGCAAGCAUGCGAAUGCAAGCUAAUCUCAUAAACCGUGGCUCAGUUCAGAUCGCAGGCUGCAACUCGCCUGCGUGAAGGAGGAAUCGCUAGUAAUUGCAGGUCAGCAUACUGCAGUGAAUUCGUUCCCGGGCCUUGUACACACCGCCCGUCACACCAUGGAAGCUGGUAGUGCCCGAAGUCAUUACCCCAACCGCUUGCGGAGGGGGAUGCCUAAGGCAGGACUGGUGACUGGGGUGAAGUCGUAACAAGGUAGCCGUACCGGAAGGUGUGGCUGGAUCACCUCCU
rnacentral:rRNA from 1 species